rnacentral:rRNA from 1 species
AGCAGCCGCGGUAAUUCCAGCUCCAAUAGCGUAUAUUAAAGUUGUUGCAGUUAAAAAGCUCGUAGUUGAAUUUCGGGAUCAAUAUAUCGGUCGUGCCAUUGGUACGUACUGGUAUCAUUGGUUUCUCCUUUCUGACGAACCAUGAUGUCAUUAAUUUGGUGUUAUGGGAAGUUAGGACUGUUACUUUGAAAAAAUUAGAGUGUUUAAAGCAGGCUUUAGCUUGAAUACAUUAACAUGGAAUAAUGAAAUAGGACGUUCGAACCUAUUUUGUUGGUUUCUAGGAUCAACGUAAUGAUUAAUAGGGAUAGUUGGGGGCAUUAGUAUUCAAUUGUCAGAGGUGAAAUUCUUGGAUUUAUUGAAGACUAACUACUGCGAAAGCAUUUGCCAAGGAUGUUUUCAUUAAUCAAGAACGAAAGUUAGGGGAUCGAAGACGAUCAGAUACCGUCGUAGUCUUAACCAUAAACUAUGUCGACUAGGGAUCGGAUGAUGUAAUUUUUAAUGACUCAUUCGGCGCCUUACG